CCUGUUUAAGUAGGAAGCUUAAGAAAAUCACAGAAUCAGAGAAUAUCCCGAGUUGGCAGGGACCAACAAGGAUCAUUGAGUCUAACUCCUGGCUCCGCGUGGGGCUACCCAAAAAUCAGUCUGAGAGCAUUGUCCAGUGGUGUAACACUGGCAAGCUCAGUGUCCUUUUCCUUUUAGGCUAGAUCAUAAAAAAGGCUAUUCUGCAGUAUUUUACAAUGGGGAGAAGAAGAAAAAAAAGAAGAGAACAGAGAAGGCUUGGAGCAUCUUGGAUUACUUUGGUGACUUGCUCAGCUCCUGAACCCAGGACGCUCACCACCUGAAGUGUUGGAGAACUGGGAAAAUUGUCUGUUCCAGAAGCUGGUGCUCACAUAAAAGCAGGCAACAGAAAACUAGUGAGGUUUCGGUUAACUUGGUAACAGGAGCGGUACUGCAAUGAGUUGGUGUCUUUAACUGGAAGUCUUGGGAUGAGCUCACUCGUGCUAGUACUGCUGAGCAAUACCACGUUUUCUCCCCGUCCACCCGGAGGUGUCUGUUGCUGUUUACCUUAGGCUGCCUUCCCCAGAAGCUGUGUUUUCUGCAGCGGGGGCUGUGUUUACAGCACCUAACACACAAUCAUUUUUGUGGCUGAGGCCCUCAGACAGAAGGGUAGCAGAGUACAAACAGCCCUCAAACAGAAAGGUAGCGCUGGGAGACGUGACUGCAGGGGUUAGCACGCACGGCUGGGGGACAGCUGGCGUGCAGGAGAGCUGCUGACCUUCCUCCUGUCCUCCUCGGUCAGGGCUCCUGCUUCAACCAGUUGCUUCCACGUGGAGCUGGGCACUGGAAAGAAAGUCCAGGGUGGUAGGGGUGGAAGGAGGAUCUGAUGGCUUAGACAAAAUAAAUGGAAACUUUUUUUUUUUCCUUCCCCAAAAGAAUGUUUUGCUUGCCAGUGGGAGGCUGCAAACAGGGUAGUCAUCCAAGAGGGUAAUGGAAUAUUUCCCUGACCCUCAAAACAAUAUUAAGAGGGACAGAUGAAAUCUAAAAGGUAAACACAUUCAGCUGAGGCUAGCUGAAUUUCCUGGUUACUAUGCUGAAAAAGUUAACGAUGAAACACUGCCAGUUGUUUCGGCAGGUAAAAGGAAGUAAUGGUGCAGGUCUGUAUCUAAAACAAAAUAAAUAAAGUUUACCUAAGAGGUCUUGUCCCCGUAGCUGUCAAAAAUAUAGCUCCUGCCAUUGUUAGCAAUGUAAAUCAGCGGUUCAGGAGGGCUGCAUGAGUACAAACAAAAGGAUAAGCUUGCCAUGUCACUUGUUCCUGUAAAGCUCUUCUGCAGGUUUCUUUGAUAACACCUAUCUCCUCGUAGCAGGUGUGUGAGGGACCCAGGAAGGGAGAGGUAGCAUGGGCUGGAGCCUACGUAGCUGUGCUGAUACGCGUAUGGAGAUGUCGCUUCCAAGCGUAUUCCUUUGUAAGCGAGGUCAAAAUAUAGCGUGAUGUGCGAGAUAUAUAAUGAGUGAGAGGAAGAAAGACAUGCUAACUGGGUUGGAAGAUAACAUUUUGUCUUCUGAAUGGGUUCUUGUUAUUGCCACCGAUUGUUACUUUCAGAAAAAAAAUUAUGUUGAAAUUAUUCUUUUCUCUCUAUUGUUUAGCUCUUGUUCUCAGCUUUGUUAUGGCCACAAAGAGAUGAUAAAAAUGGAUUGGCACAAAGUUGGGUUUCGUGUAUCAUUUAGAGACAGGUUUAGAGUUAUGUUUUCAGCCCUUAGCACUUUGAUAGGGUCUGUUCUUCAUUUUGAAAAUAGCAAUAAAAGAGUAAAGAACAUAAGAAAACACAAUUUUUUUUUAAUGAAAUUGUCAGUGCUGGUUUGAACUUUGUCUCUGAUCUGUAUGAAGUCUCUGAACUGUGCAGUUGGAAGAAAGCAGAUAGAAAAGAGAGAGAAAAUGUCCAUGUUCCUGGCUACUUUAGACGGUAAUAAAAAGCCCCCAAAGUGUUACUUGUUUUUAAUCUGUAUAUUUAUGUCUAUAUAAAUCCACUGAGAAUAAACUUUAAACGUUUGUUA